UACGAAGGGGCUAGCGUUGCUCGGAAUCACUGGGCGUAAAGCGCACGUAGGCGGAUUGUUAAGUCAGGGUGAAAUCUGGAGCUCAACUCCAGAACUGCCUUUGAUACUGGCGAUCUUGAGUCCGGGAGAGGUGAGUGGAACUGCGGAGUGAGAGGUGAAAUUCGUAGAUAUUCGCAAGAACACCAGUGGCGAAGGCGGCUCACUGGUCCGGUACUGGACG
rnacentral:rRNA from 1 species